ACAGGGAUUGCCCUAGUAACGGCGAGUGAAGCGGCAACAGCUCAAAUUUGAAAUCUGGCUCUUUCAGGGUCCGAGUUGUAAUUUGCAGAGGGCGCUUUGGCGUUGGCAGCGGUCCAAGUUCCUUGGAACAGGACGUCACAGAGGGUGAGAAUCCCGUACGUGGUCGCUGGCCUUCGCCGUGUAAAGCCCCUUCGACGAGUCGAGUUGUUUGGGAAUGCAGCUCUAAAUGGGAGGUAAAUUUCUUCUAAAGCUAAAUACUGGCCAGAGACCGAUAGCGCACAAGUAGAGUGAUCGAAAGAUGAAAAGCACUUUGGAAAGAGAGUCAAAUAGCACGUGAAAUUGUUGAAAGGGAAGCGCUUGCAGCCAGACUUGCCUGUAGUUGCUCAUCCGGGCUUCUGCCCGGUGCACUCUUCUAUAGGCAGGCCAGCAUCAGUUUGGGCGGUUGGAUAAAGGUCUCUGUCAUGUACCUCUCUUCGGGGAGGCCUUAUAGGGGAGACGACAUGCAACCAGCCUGGACUGAGGUCCGCGCAUUUUGCUAGGAUGCUGGCGUAAUGGCUGUAAGCGGCCCGUCUUGAAACACGGACCAAGGAGUCUAACAUCUAUGCGAGUGUUUGGGUGUCAAGCCCGAACGCGUAAUGAAAGUGAACGGAGGUGGGAACCCUUUAGGGCGCACCAUCGACCGAUCCUGAUGUCUUCGGAAGGAUUUGAGUAAGAGCAUGGCUGUUGGGACCCGAAAGAUGGUGAACUAUGCUUGAAUAGGGUGAAGCCAGAGGAAACUCUGGUGGAGGCUCGCAGCGGUUCUGACGUGCAAAUCGAUCGUCAAAUUUGGGCAUAGGGGCGAAAGACUAAUCGAACUAUCUAGUA
rnacentral:rRNA from 1 species